rnacentral:tRNA from 1 species
GGAGGCAUGGCUCAAUGGCAACGAGUUCGACUAUCAAUACGAGAUGCUUCUAUGAUUUGGGUUCAAUCCCCACUGCCUCCG